GGGCGGUUAGCUCAGUUGGUAGAGCUCCUGACUUACAUUCAGGCGGCCGUUGGUUCGAGUCCAGCACCGCCCA
rnacentral:tRNA from 1 species